GGAAGGACAGCUUCGUAGAACGUCUUCCAUCGAGUGCGAGCCCAGGACUUUGAGUAUUGAUCAAAUCCAAUGUGCUAGAGAGGCUGCCAUGUAUGUGGUGAGUACUAGAACCAUCGAAGAAGCCAUGUCUAUUUUCACUCAGGGAUUAGAGCCAGUAGUAUGCGCUGCAGGAGAUAACAUGGAUACCACCAUGGAUCUCAAUGGAUUAGAGUACUUCCAAGGCCUACAGCUUCAAGGAAUGCGCGACGUCGUUUCUGCUCCUUUCUAGAUUAGCUUUUU